AAAAGAAAGCAAGGCUCCUUUCUCAGUGCGGCACCUAGAGACAGCUUACUUAUGACUGACAAGGAUAUACCAGCUAAUGUGUUUUCCAGAUAGACCAAAGACCUCGUAGAAUGGAGAAUGAAAUAGUACCUCUCAUCUGAUAAUUCUUCUAAAACAAAGCUAAGCCACUUUGUCAGGAUGAUAUGAGUCCUGGAACAUACAAUCCUGUGACGAAUUCAGCUUCCCACGUUUCUCCGUGUAUUUCCAAGGUGGAGCGUUUUAAGG